AUGCAAGUCGAGCGUUGCCUUAAUGGAGCUUGCUCCAGAGGGGAAGCGGCGGACGGCUGAGUAACACGUAGGAACUUACCCCUAGGUAAGGAAUAGCUCACCGAAAGGUGGGGUAAUGCCUUAUAGUCCCUGUACCAUGCGCUUGCGCUUAAGGUAUGGGGUAAAGGAUUUAUUCGCCAAGGGAUGGUCCUGCGGCCUAUCAGAUAGUUGGUGUGGGUAAUGGCCCACCAAGUCUAUGACGGGUAGCUGGCUUCAUGAGGGUGGUCAGCCAGAGGGGGACUGAGACACGGCCCCCACUCCUACGGGAGGCAGCAAUCAGGAAUCGUCGGCAAUGGGGGAAACCCUGACCGCGCGACACUGCGUGUAGGAUGAAGCUCUAACGAGUGUAAACUACUGUGGUACAGGAAGAAGUUUCGACGCGAGUCGAGAUUGACGGUACUGUACUAGAAAGGGGCCGCUAACUGCGUGCCAGAAGCGUCGGUAAUACGUGGGCCUCAAGCAUUAUCCGGUUUUAUUGGGCGUAAAGGGUCGUGUAGGCGGAUACAUAAGUUAUCUUUUAAAUUCAGAGGCUCAACCUCUGGCAUGGGGGUAAUACUGUGUGUCUAGAGUUUUCUUUAGGGUAAGCGGAACUGAGUGAGGAGUAGUGAAAUGCGUUGAUACACUCGGGAACACCAGUGGCGAAGGCGGCUUACUGGAAAGGAAACUGACGCUGAGACACGAAAGCUAGGGUAGCGAAGCAGAUUAGAGACCUGCGUAGUCCUAGCCCUAAACGAAU
rnacentral:rRNA from 1 species